rnacentral:rRNA from 1 species
CCUACGGGAGGCAGCAGUGAGGAAUAUUGGUCAAUGGACGAGAGUCUGAACCAGCCAAGUAGCGUGAAGGAUGACUGCCCUAUGGGUUGUAAACUUCUUUUAUAUGGGAAUAAAAUGUUCCACGUGUGGGAUUUUGUAUGUACCAUAUGAAUAAGGAUCGGCUAACUCCGUGCCAGCAGCCGCGGUAAUACGGAGGAUCCGAGCGUUAUCCGGAUGUAUUGGGGUUAAGGGGAGCGUAGGUGGAUUGUUAAGUCAGUUGUGAAAGUUUGCGGCUCAACCGUAAAAUUGCAGUUGAAACUGGCAGUCUUGAGUACAGUAGAGGUGGGCGGAAUACGUGGUGUAGCGGUGAAAUGCUUAGAUAGCACGAAGAACUCCGAUUGCGAAGGCAGCUCACUGGACUGCAACUGACACUGAGGCUCGAAAGUGUGGGUAUCAAACAGGAUUAGAUACCCCAGUAGUC